AUUGGCUGUGCCGCAUCAUACUAACGUGUGAUUGGUUGUCCUUGCUGUCGCUCUACCUUGUAGCCAUGGAGACGACAGACCGGUGUUUUCCCUGCGGACAGGAGUCUGCGUUCAUCUACCUGAUCCAGCAGGUGGAGCUGUUCCUCUCUUUUCCCAGGUGCUGAGUGGUCCCAGCUGGAGCCAAUUACCUUUUCAAGGCAGCAGUAUUUAGGAGGAGUGGAACCACCAGACGUCUUCACUGUUUGGACGUCCAUCUCCCUGGGUGUGGCCACUCCUCUCUCCGCCACUGCAAAAGCUCCCGCACUGGAUUCUGCCAAGCCGCUCAGCCCUCCUGUGGAAAGAACACACUACUAAACCACCGCGCAGCUCUCACAACCUUCAAUCAUCCUGAAUACUCACCUCUCCCUCAGUACCGGUCCCUCCGCAGCUCCAGUGAGUUAUCAAUUCCAAUUAAUCCUGCUAAAUAACUCUCAGUUUGUUUCUACACAUA